rnacentral:lncRNA from 1 species
UGUAAGUCGCUCCCUUACCUAUACAUGUCUCCUGGUCUUCUUCUUCCCGAGUUCAAGUUCUUUCUGGAAAAAAAUUCUUACACAGCAACAAAAAAAAAAAAAAUAAUCGUAUAGAGCAUUGGAGGCUUCAAGGGAUUAUCCAUGGAGUCAUCUGUAGAUAAAAAACCAGCUCCGCCCCUCCGUUUGAUUUCUCCUGAUUCCUGAAGAAGAGGUUUGAUCGAAGAUCGAUAUUUUCUUUCUUUUUCAUUUUUACUCCUUUUUUGUAAUUUUUUUUUUUUAUACCUAUCCAAAGUUUCGCCUACAGCUGGAACCGUACAUAUAAAAUUUAAGGAUGAUUUAGAAUGUAUGUUAAGUAAUUAAUUUUAUUACCUUUUAAUCUAGUAAUGGCAGACCUCUUAAUUCGUGAAAUGGAAAAAUCUUGUGGAAUAUUGAUUUGUGGAGUUGAUCCUGAUCUAGUGGCUUAUUGGGAAAUAUCUGAAGUUGUUUUGAUCGAUUAAUAUUAGCUUUAGGAGAAGUAUUUUAUAAUUUCUUCUUCGGUCAUUAAUUAAGAUCCAAUGAUAUAGCUAGUAAAGUAAAAGAAACAUAUAGUAAUUAAUUAGUCUAUAACAGAUUCGAUCUGACUGGACCAUAAGCGUAUUUGCCUGCAGUGCGCGUGUGUAUUAGAUGUGCACGAGGCUGAGGCUCGCUUUUGUCUUUUGAUACGAGGCUAGGGCAAGGGUUUUCUUCUCUUUCUCUCUCUCCUUUGUUUUAUGAAAAUGAGUCCGUAAGGAAUUAAUGUUGCCAUCCUAUAAAUCCCCCAAGAGCUAGCAGCCCUCUCAUACGGUUGGCUGAGCACUCAAAUCUUCUUCCAUUGCGAAUGUAUGAAAUUUUCUUUUUGACAUUCCAUUUCCAGAAAUGAACUGCCCUGUUGUAUGUGAGAUUUUUGUUUCCACCAUUGCUAAAUCUUGUAAUCUUCUUUUUCUUCCUGAAAUCUCAAGAUGGUCAGUCUUGGUACCUCCAAGAUGGAACCAAUCAGAUACUUUUGUACCCAAUUUUAAAGCUUCAAUUCCCCUUCCUGAUAUUACUGGUCUUUCUCUUCACAGCCAUCAGAGUUCCUGUCAGUGUGAGAAGCCCCAUGCCCAUGAGUUGUGGAGAUCAUCUCCCUUGUCUGUUGGCAAUAUCCACAAUCGCUUCUCUCAUUUUGGCUCCAUCUCUUUUCUUAGUGGUUUAUUUGUGUCUCAUAAUCCUAUCACUCUUUUAUGUAACGCUAACUUCUCUGUUUAAGCGCUGCUGCAACGGACACGCUGCUGUAAUAGCUUCUGCCGAACCUCACGAGGGCAUCCAAAACCUGCAGCCAGGGGAUCUGGUGCAAUUGUGGUGACUCGAAGUUCCAUGCAACUACUACUACCUAGGGCUAGCUACAGUUGCCACAGUAAUAAUAUAUAUUUCUCUUUUAAUUUUUUUUUAAAGAUAAAAUUCAGAUCUGUUGUUUUAGUUAUGUAUACGACUCCGUAUAGAUGAAGUGGACA